rnacentral:rRNA from 1 species
GACGAACGCUGGCGGCGUGCCUAAUACAUGCAAGUUGAGCGCUGAAGGUUGGUACUUGUACCAACUGGAUGAGCAGCGAACGGGUGAGUAACGCGUGGGGAAUCUGCCUUUGAGCGGGGGACAACAUUUGGAAACGAAUGCUAAUACCGCAUAAAAACUUUAAACACAAGUUUUAAGUUUGAAAGAUGCAAUUGCAUCACUCAAAGAUGAUCCCGCGUUGUAUUAGCUAGUUGGUGAGGUAAAGGCUCACCAAGGCGAUGAUACAUAGCCUACCUGAGAGGGUGAACGGCCACAUUGGGACUGAGAAACGGCCCAAACUUCUACGGGAGGCAGCAGGAGGGAAACUUCGGAAAUGGAGGAAAGUCUGACCGAGCAAAGCCGCGGGAGUGAAGAAGGGUUUCGGAUCGUAAAACUCUGUUGGUAGAGAAGAAAGGUGGUGAGAGUGGAAAGCUCAUCAAGUGACGGUAACUACACAGAAAGGGACGGCUAACUACGUG